rnacentral:rRNA from 1 species
AACGAACGCUGGCGGCAUGCCUAACACAUGCAAGUCGAACGAGAUCUUCGGGUCUAGUGGCGCACGGGUGCGUAACGCGUGGGAAUCUGCCCUUUGGUUCGGAAUAACAGUUGGAAACGACUGCUAAUACCGGAUGAUGACGAAAGUCCAAAGAUUUAUCGCCAGAGGAUGAGCCCGCGUAGGAUUAGCUAGUUGGUGUGGGAAAGGCGCACCAAGGCGACGAUCCUUAGCUGGUCUGAGAGGAUGAUCAGCAACACUGGGACUGAGACACGGCCCAGACUCCUACGGGAGGCAGCAGUGGGGAAUCUUGGACAAUGGGCGCAAGCCUGAUCCAGCCAUGCCGCGUGAGUGAAGAAGGUCUUCGGAUUGUAAAGCUCUUUUACCAGGGACGAUAAUGACGGUACCUGGAGAAUAAGCCCCGGCAAACUUCGUGCCAGCAGCCGCCGUAA